UGACAUUCUGAAUGGGAUGUGCCUCAGC
rnacentral:piRNA from 1 species